GCCUAACACAUGCAAGUCGGACGGUAGCACAGAGAGCUUGCUCUUGGGUGACAAGUGGCGGACNGGUGAGUAAUGUCUGGGGAUCUGCCCGAUAGAGGGGGAUAACCACUGGAAACGGUGGCUAAUACCGCAUAACGUCUCAAGACCAAAGAGGGGGACCUUCGGGCCUCUCACUAUCGGAUGAACCCCNAUGGGAUUAGCUAGUAGGCGGGGUAAUGGCCCNCCUAGGCGACAAUCCCUAUCUGGUCUGAGAGGAUGACCACCCACACUGGAACUGAGACACGGUCCACACUCCUACGGGAGGCAGCAGUGGGGAAUAUUGCACAAUGGGCGCAAGCCUGAUGCACCCNUGCCCCGUGUAUAAAAAAAGCCUUCUGGUUUUAAAGUACUUUCACCGGGGAGGAAGGGGACGGGGUUAAUAACCCUGUCCAUUGACAUUUCCCCCAAAAAAACA
rnacentral:rRNA from 1 species